rnacentral:rRNA from 1 species
AGUGAACGCUGGCGGUAGGCCUAACACAUGCAAGUCGAACGGCAGCACAGUAAGAGCUUGCUCUUACGGGUGGCGAGUGGCGGACGGGUGAGGAAUACAUCGGAAUCUACUUUUUCGUGGGGGAUAACGUAGGGAAACUUACGCUAAUACCGCAUACGACCUACGGGUGAAAGCAGGGGAUCUUCGGACCUUGCGCGAUUGAAUGAGCCGAUGUCGGAUUAGCUAGUUGGCGGGGUAGAGGCGCACCAAGGCGACGAUCCGUAGCUGGUCUGAGAGGAUGAUCAGCCACACUGGAACUGAGACACGGUCCAGACUCCUACGGGAGGCAGCAGUGGGGAAUAUUGGACAAUGGGCGCAAGCCUGAUCCAGCCAUACCGCGUGGGUGAAGAAGGCCUUCGGGUUGUAAAGCCCUUUUGUUGGGAAAGAAGAGCAGCAGGUUAAUACCCCGCUGUUCUGACGGUACCCAAAGAAUAAGCACCGGCUAACUUCGUG